GACGAACGCUGGCGGCGUGCUUAACACAUGCAAGUCGAACGAUGAAGCUGGAGCUUGCUCUGGUGGAUUAGUGGCGAACGGGUGAGUAACACGUGAGUAACCUGCCCUGGACUCUGGGAUAACCCCGAGAAAUCGGAGCUAAUACCGGAUAGGACCUCGGAUCGCAUGAUCUGGGGUGGAAAGUUUUUCGGUCUGGGAUGGACUCGCGGCCUAUCAGCUUGUUGGUGAGGUAAUGGCUCACCAAGGCGUCGACGGGUAGCCGGCCUGAAAGGGGGACCGGCCACACUGGGACUGAGACACUGCCAGACUCCUACGGGAGGCAGCAGUGGGGAAUAUUGCACAAUGCGCGCAAGCCUGAUGCAGCAACGCCGCGUGUGGGAUGACGGCCUUCGGGUUGUAAACCGCUUUUAGUAAGGAAGAAGCCGCAAGGUGACGGUACUUGCAGAAAAAGGACCGGCUAACUACGUGCCAGCCGCCGCGGUAAUAC
rnacentral:rRNA from 1 species